AAGGGAGACCUAAUUCAGGUAGUAGACGAAAAAAAAGUAGUCGCUACCAAGAAUCAAUCCCAAAAGGUCGGAGCGAGGCAAAAUUGGCUUUCAAACUAGGUUCUGGGUUCACACAAGACCUGAAUCAGGAACAAGGGCUAUUAGCUCAGGUGGUUAGAGCGCACCCCUGAUAAGGGUGAGGUCCCUGGUUCGAGUCCAGGAUGGCCCACCUGUACAGGUGGCAAAAAGAAGGAAAAGAAGCGAGGAAUCAGCACCUUAUCUUACUUACAUAGUAAGAGAGAAUGCUGGCUCUGAGUUCAGAGUCCAGAGGAACCUUGAAAACUGCAUAGAGCUAGGUGAAAAAGCCAAAAAAGAAGACCGCAAGGUCAAGCUAAUAAGGGCUAACGGUGGAUACCUAGGCAC
rnacentral:tRNA from 1 species